UAAAUGAAUGCUGUGAUAUUAUUGUUGAAACAGAAACAAUUUCACGUUGUUUCGCUGAUGGGAUAUAACUAAUGUUGUGUGUAAUGUAAUACAUUUAUGAAGACACAACCAUGUCAGAGUGGUUGUAGUGGCUUCAACAUCUUAAGCAACAUUAAUUAAACAUUAAAUAGCCAAAUAAUUUUGCAACAUGUUCAGUUUGUCAGCUCUACUCACUCAACGUAUGUGCAUUCCCGCGACAGGUGGUUGAGACGCAUUUACAACAAAUUAACUUUUUUCAGUAAAUUUUUUCUUUUGUUGUUGCGUUUUUUUCAGAGUAGCAUCAACACGUUCACGCGUGACUCUUUAGUUUGUUUGUCGGUUGCCAACCAUCACCUCCUUUUAUUCAUCAUCCAACGCAAAACAUGACUCGCGGAGCGGCACGUGGUCAGCCGGCCCGCUCCUCCCGCCGCGGCCACGCCUCCGGAUGGUGACUCGGUCGGGAGCAGCGUGGCUGGAGCUGGAAGCAGCAGCAAAGAAGCGUUGACGCUGCGUGCGUUUGGGGGGGAAAAAAAACAAAACAAAAAAAACUGCGCCAGGAAACAGCUCCGUUUGCAGACGGUGGAACCAGCGCGCGCAGCGCACCGGAGUCGGUGGAGAACGGAUGCGGCAGUAGAGGAUCUCAACACAACCAGGAUGCAGAGAAGUAAUCGGAGAAGGCACCAAUAAGUCUGGAAAAAACCCAAACGGGGUCCUGCGAUAUCUCGGUUGUCUCCUUCCAGGCCUGAAUGGACACAUUGUGCUGCUGCCCGCUGCUGUUCUACAGACCACUAGGUCCUCCACACACACCUGUCAAGCCAUGUCCGUGGCGCCUUGGGUGCUGAGACACUCCAGAGCCCCCCUGCUGUACACAUGGUUAUUGAACCCUUGCACACACACACACACUUAAACGUCCUAUAUGAAUAAAUAAACCCAUGUGGUCACGUAAACCUAUGUUUAGACACAGAAAUGCAUUCACAAGGACGCACACAAUUGAAUUUCACAAAUACACAGAGUAUGCAUUCAUGCUUUUUCACAAACAAACACACACACACUCAAAGACUUCUCUUUAUUGGAAACACGCCUCUCUCCCUUCGCCCAUGCCAAGGUUACAUGCGGGGCGGCUUCAGAUUUUAGAAAGGGUCAAGUUCCAUAUUUGUCAGGUGGGGGUUGGGGGCAAGGGUGCAGAAGGAAACAGCAUUCAGGAGUAGACCACCUGUAACCUGAUCUCCUGCUUCAAUCGGUUGCAGGUUUUCUCUUUUUGAGUUGAGUGGGCAGCAGUUGUGGGACACAGUGUUCUUUGCUUCCAUUUGGCAAAUGUGUUUACAUUUCUGCUUAAGUCAUUGAAAUGAUCAGCAAAUGUUUUUUUUAUUAUUUAUAAGCGAUUCAUCGGAGCUGAAACGGCUUUUAAUUGCUUUUCAGUUUAUUAAAUGAUUUGUGGAAAUUGAAUGGCAAUGUUUUUGGGAUUGAUUGAUUGAUUCAUUUAAUAUCUACUUCUUGCUAUUUCUAUGCAUGUAAACGAUUAUUUUUAGAUUCUGAGCAACUUAGUUGG
ensembl:lncRNA